rnacentral:misc_RNA from 1 species
UAGGUACCAAAAAGUAGAUCAAAACUACAAGAUCUAGAUAGACAUGGAUCUGUGAAUAAAUGAAACAGAAUCAUUAAUUUGCCAGACAUUAAUGAUCCCUUAAAAUGAGAAGACAUGGGCAUUGCUUAUAAAAGCCUGCAACAGAGUUCAUUCCAGAAGAUACACUAAACUGACAACAGAAGUAUCGCCAUUUUUGUUCAAAUUGAAUGUUACUUGAUUCUCAAAUCCAAGAUUGGCAUGAUAUAAUCAUUCAAAACAAAAAAAAAAAAAGAAAAGAAAAGGAAAGGAAAACACUGCAUCCAUCCAACGUGAUUAACUUUAGUAUUCCUAUUAACCCCUCCCCUUUUUUAUCUGCUUUUUUAUUAAGUCGCAAUUUUUUCAGUGUGCCUCAUUUGAGAACUGUAAUCCAGUUGCUUGCUAACAUGGAAAGCUGCCAGCUUAACUUUCCUUCUCAAGCUCAACUUCCUCAGGAGGUAUCUCUCUCUCUUGUUCUCUCCAUAUCCAUCUAUGGGUUGCUCGUUCGCAUGCAAUAAUAAAUUAUGUAACAGCAAGUUCAGUUCUCAUAUUUCAAGCUGUGUCAACAUAUACUCCAUUGACAAUGGCUUAAUUAAUGACUGUUAGUGAAGUCCAGAACACUCAUAUUGACGUCUUUCAUCUUAAUUUCCUAUCUUUUAUCUCUUGCUCUCAGGAAACUGAGCUCCCAAAUCAAACUCCGGAGGUGGGUUAAUUGACUGACCUUUCCAACCAUUUUAAGGGCUCAGUCGAAUAGAAGCAGUAUGAACCAUAACCGGGGAUCCUUCAGAAUCUAGCUAAAUGAUGUUAUGAGGUUGCACUGUAUAUCGUGCAUAACAAGUAAAAUAUUUCUGAUCUAGGAGUGUUCCUGUGCUUUCAUAUAUAUGCUCCUUUUUGAGUCUCAUGAUAGACUUUUUCAAGGAUUAGAAAAUAUGUUCUUAAACUUGAUCAUGGCCUGCAUAACUCAAGGGGGAACAACUAGCAGGCCAUGUCUUGAUCUUACCAAUUAUUGUUCCAUGGCUUGCUGACCAAAUGGAAUGGAAGUAACUCUUCCUGUUUUUUAUCAUCAGUAGUGUUUCUCUCUGAAGUUUGAAGCACUAACAAGCAUGUACAAUUCCUGUAUAUUAGGAGAAAUUAUGAUGUUCACCGUUUACAAGUCUAAAGAUGACUAAUAAC